GACGAACGCUGGCGGCGCGCCUAACACAUGCAAGUCGAGCGACGAAAGGGCCUUCGGGCCCCUGAAAGCGGCGAACGGGUGAGUAACACGUGGGUAACCCACCCUCGGUUCCGGGAUAGCUCGGGGAAACCCGGAUUAAUACCGGAUGGCCUCUGGAGCCCUCGGGCUCUCGAGAAAAGGUAGCUUCGGCCUCCGACCGAGGACGGGCCCGCGGCCGAUUAGCUGGUUGGCGGGGUAACGGCCCACCAAGGCGACGAUCGGUAGCUGGUCUGGGAGGACGAUCAGCCACACUGGGACUGAGACACGGCCCAGACACCUACGGGAGGCAGCAGUGGGGAAUCUUGCGCAAUGGGCGGAAGCCUGACGCAGCGACGCCGCGUGCGGGAGGAAGGCCUUCGGGUUGUAAACCGCUUUCAGGAGGGACGAAGCCACUCGGGUGAAUAGCCCAGAGGGUGACGGUACCUCCAGAAGAAGCCCCGGCUAACUACGUGCCAGCCGCCGCAGUAAUAC
rnacentral:rRNA from 1 species